UUUGAGAAUUUCGGGUUUUUUGGGUGGAAUUUUGAGAAUUUUGGGGUUUUUUGGGUGGAAUUUUGGGAAUUCUGGGGUUUUGGGGGUGGAAUUCCGGGAAUUUCCGGGUGGAAUUUUGGGAAUUUCGGGGUCUCCCCCCCAGGUCCGCCAGCCGCUCCGGGGAGAGGAAGAAGAGCAAGAAGAAGAAGCACAGGUCCGAAUCCGAGGCCAAGAAGCGAAAGCACCGCUCGCCCAGCCCCAAGGCCAAGCACAAGGCCAAGGAGAAGAAGCGCAAGCGGUCCACCAGCCAAUCGCAGAAGCCGGAGCGCUCUUCCUCCCCGGCCGGCUCCUCCUCCUCCUCGGGCUCCUCCCGCAGCAGGUGAGACCCCCCGGAAA
rnacentral:lncRNA from 1 species